GAUGAACGCUGGCGGCGUGCCUAAUACAUGCCAGUCGAACGAACGGACGAGAAGCUUGCUUCUCUGAUGUUAGCCGCAGACGGGAGUGUAACACGUGGAUAACCUACCUAUAAUACUGGGAUAACUUCGAGAAACCGGAGCUAAUACCGUAUGAUCUUUUGAACCGCAUGGUUGAAAAGUGAAAUACGGUCUUUCUGUCUCUUAUAGAUGGAUCCGCGCUGCAUUAGCUAGUUGGUAAGGUAACGGCUUACGAAGGCAACGAUGCAUAGCCGACGUGAGAGGGGGAUAGGCCACACUGGAACUGAGACACGGUCCAGAGGCCUACGGGAGGCAGCAGUAGGGAAUCUUCCGCAAUGGGCGAAAGCCUGACGGAGCAACGCGGCGUGAGUGAUGAAGGUGUUCGGAUCGUAAAACUGUGUUAUGAGGGAAGAACAUAUGUGUAAGUAACUGUGCACAUCUUGACGGUAACUAAUCAGAAAGCCACGGCUAACUACGUG
rnacentral:rRNA from 1 species